UACGGAGGGCGCAAGCGUUGUUCGGAAUCAUUGGGCGUAAAGCGCGUGUAGGCGGUUUGGUAAGUCGGGUGUGAAAUCCCGGGGCUCAACCCCGGAACUGCAUUCGAAACUGCCUGGCUAGAGUCCCGGAGGGGAGGGCGGAAUUCCCGGUGUAGAGGUGAAAUUCGUAGAGAUCGGGAGGAACACCAGCGGCGAAGGCGGCCCUCUGGACGGUGACUGACGAUGAGACGCGAAAGAGUGGGGAGCAAACAGG
rnacentral:rRNA from 1 species